UUCUUUUAGGUUAUAUUGAAGGUAUUUUCUGCCCUAUGAUUAUGAAUUUAAAUGGCUGCAGUAUAUUGACUGUACAAAGGUAGCAUAAUAAUUAGUUUUUUAAUUGAGGACUUGUAUGAAUGGAUAGAUGAGGAAUUUAUUUUAUUUAUUUAAAUAUUAAAAUUUUAUUUUUUGGUUAAAAAGCUAAACUGAGUUUUAGGGACGAGAAGACCCUAUAGAACUUAAAAUAUAUUUUUGUUAAUUUUUUUUAGUAAGUUUUUAUAAUUAACUAAAUUAAAUUUUUAAUUGGGGUGAUUAAUAAAUUUAAAAGGCUUUAUUUUAUGAAUUCAUUUUUAAGUGUUAUUUUGAUCCUUUAGUUAAGAUUAUAAGAUAAGUUACCUUAGGGAUAACAGCGUAAUUUUAAUGUGAAGUUCUUAUUUAAAUUAGAGUUUGCGACCUCGAUGUUGAAUUAAGGAAAAUUUAAGGUGCAGAAGCUUUAAUAUUAAGUCUGUUCGACUUUUAAACCCUUACA
rnacentral:rRNA from 1 species